CGGAGCUUGCUCUGGUGGAUUAGUGGCGAACGGGUGAGUAACACGUGAGUAACCUGCCCUUGACUCUGGAAUAAGCGUUGGAAACGACGUCUAAUACCGGAUACGAGCUUCCGCCGCAUGGUGAGGAGCUGGAAAGAAUUUCGGUCAAGGAUGGACUCGCGGCCUAUCAGGUAGUUGGUGAGGUAAUGGCUCACCAAGCCUACGACGGGUAGCCGGCCUGAGAGGGUGACCGGCCACACUGGAACUGAGACACGGUCCAGACUCCUACGGGAGGCAGCAGUGGGGAAUAUUGCACAAUGGGCGCAAGCCUGAUGCAGCAACGCCGCGUGAGGGACGACGGCCUUCGGGUUGUAAACCUCUUUUAGUAGGGAAGAAGCGAAAGUGACGGUACCUGCAGAAAAAGCACCGGCUAACUACGUGCCAGCAGCCGCGGUAAUACGUAGGGUGCAAGCGUUAUCCGGAAUUAUUGGGCGUAAAGAGCUCGUAGGCGGUUUGUCGCGUCUGCUGUGAAAACUGGGGGCUCAACCCCCAGCCUGCAGUGGGUACGGGCAGACUAGAGUGCGGUAGGGGAGAUUGGAAUUCCUGGUGUAGCGGUGGAAUGCGCAGAUAUCAGGAGGAACACCGAUGGCGAAGGCAGAUCUCUGGGCCGUAACUGACGCUGAGGAGCGAAAGCAUGGGGAGCGAACAGGAUUAGAUACCCUGGUAGUCCAUGCCGUAAACGUUGGGAACU
rnacentral:rRNA from 1 species